rnacentral:rRNA from 2 species
GGUUGUGAUCAUACCAGCAAUGAAGCCCCGGAUCCCAUCCGAACUGGAUAGUUAAGCGUGCUUGGGCGAGAGUAGUGGCUAGGAUGGGUGACCUCCGGGGAAGUCCACAGGUCGCAUUCC